GGGUUGUGAGGUUAAGCGACUAAGCGUACACGGUGGAUGCCCUGGCAGUCAGAGGCGAUGAAGGACGUGCUAAUCUGCGAUAAGCGCCGGUAAGGUGAUAUGAACCGUUAUAACCGGCGAUUUCCGAAUGGGGAAACCCAGUGUGAUUCGUCACACUAUCAUUAACUGAAUCCAUAGGUUAAUGAGGCGAACCGGGGGAACUGAAACAUCUAAGUACCCCGAGGAAAAGAAAUCAACCGAGAUUCCCCCAGUAGCGGCGAGCGAACGGGGAGGAGCCCAGAGCCUGAAUCAGCAUGUGUGUUAGUGGAAGCGUCUGGAAAGGCGCGCGAUACAGGGUGACAGCCCCGUACACAAAAGCGCAUGUGCUGUGAGCUCGAUGAGUAGGGCGGGACACGUGGUAUCCUGUCUGAAUAUGGGGGGACCAUCCUCCAAGGCUAAAUACUCCUGACUGACCGAUAGUGAACCAGUACCGUGAGGGAAAGGCGAAAAGAACCCCGGCGAGGGGAGUGAAAAAGAACCUGAAACCGUGUACGUACAAGCAGUGGGAGCACCCUUCGGGGUGUGAC
rnacentral:rRNA from 1 species